GACGAACGCUGGCGGCGUGCUUAACACAUGCAAGUCGAACGGAAAGGCCCUGCUUUUGUGGGGUGCUCGAGUGGCGAACGGGUGAGUAACACGUGAGUAACCUGCCCUUGACUUUGGGAUAACUUCAGGAAACUGUGGCUAAUACCGGAUAGGAGCUCCUGCUGCAUGGUGGGGGUUGGAAAGUUUCGGCGGCUGGGGAUGGACUCGCGGCUUAUCAGCUUGUUGGUGGGGUAGUGGCUUACCAAGGCUUUGACGGGUAGCCGGCCUGAGAGGGUGACCGGGCACAUUGGGACUGAGAAACGGCCCAGACUCCUACGGGAGGCAGCAGUGGGGAAUAUUGCGCAAUGGGCGGAAGCAUGAUGCAGGAACGCCGCGUGCGAGAGGACGGUCUUCGGGGUGUAACCCGCUUUCGCCUGUGACGAAGCGUGAGUGACGGUAAUGGGUAAAGAAGCACCGGCUAACUACGUG
rnacentral:rRNA from 1 species